rnacentral:rRNA from 1 species
UACAUGGGGUGCAAACGUUGCUCGGAAUUAUUGGGCGUAAAGCGCACGUAGGCGGUUCGUUAAGUCGGAUGUGAAAGCCCUCGGCUCAACUGAGGAAGUGCACCCGAAACUGGCGAGCUUGAGUACGAAAGAGGAUCGCGGAAUUCCCGGUGUAGAGGUGAAAUUCGUAGAUAUCGGGAGGAACACCGGUGGCGAAGGCGGUCUGCUGGGGUAAUGCUGACACUGAUGCGCGACAGCGGUGGGGAGCAAACAGGG